rnacentral:lncRNA from 1 species
CAGCAUAUGGAGGUUCCCAGGCUAGGGGUCCAAUCGGACCUAUAGCUGCCAGCCUACACCAGAGCCCCAGCAAUGCCGGAUCUGAGCCAUGUCUGCGACCUAUACCACAGCUCAUGGCAACGCCGGAUCCUUAACCCACUGAGCAAGGCCAGGGAUCAAACCCCCAACCUCAUGGUUCCUAGUCGGAUUCCUUUCCGCUGCACCGUAACGGGAACUCCCUAAAUUUGCAUUUUUUAAGAGCAACCCUUUCUUCUUAUUUCUAGCAGUUCAAGGUGGUUAACAUCCCGAGGCUUUUUCAGUGUCUCAGUAUUUGGAGUUUUAUAUCUCCAUCCUCCUCAGGACAUUCUGAACUCAGAAAAACAAUUCCAAAUAUUUAAUGACAUGAUUUGAAAUAUGGCUUGAACACCCUGAUAGCAGAGACAUAGCUGGAUGCUAGAUCACCAUCUGUCUCAUACCAAUAGCGUUUCACAAAAAGUAAAUUUUUUAGAAAUUCUAGCCACAGGAGUAUAGUUAGAACAUAAAAGAACAGAAUGAUUCUUGGCAUUGACAGGAAUAGUCAAUCAGAGUAAAAAAUGGCUAUUCCAAGUCUCCUGAGUAAUCAAUUGGUAACCACUUUAAAAUGGUGAAAAUUUCCCCAAAGUGUUCAACACUCAAAAGUAUGAAUGCUGCUGAAUUUGGGGGAGGGGGGGUGUUGUCCUUCCACUUAAGAAGGAAUUUUAGAGCAAGAAAGAAUCUCAGAUCUCUAAUCUCCUACCUUUCUAGAUGAGAAAACUGAAGCUCAAAAAGUUAAUGUGACUCACUAAAUUUGUAUUCAAUAUAUUUAAUUUGGAGGUAGUUUGUUAACAGAAUUUCAAUUUCUCAAGAAUAAAUGGGUUUUUGUAUGGCUAUUACAAAAUAGUAAAAAUCUGAAAAUAAGAAAAAAUUGGCCUGUGAUAGCUAAUCAAGAAAUCUUACUUUUACAAAUUAAAAUCUUACAAAAAUAAAUCCUAGCUAUACUAAAAACCUGAGUGAAAAGUGUAACUCUGUAAGAAAUAGAAGAAAAUAAAAUUGAGUUUUUAGACACAGAAUGGAGAAGGACUUUCUAAUUUCUACAGUGAUUUUUAAAAUCAAAUGGUAUAAAUCAACAGUUUUGCUCAUAUAUGUAUAAAAAUAAGAAACAAGUUUGAAAAAACUACACAUAACAAGUAUGACAAAGAUUUAUGUCCUUGAUAUAUAAAGAGCUUAUUUGAAUCAAUGAGAAAAAAAAUCCCAGUGGAAAAAUGGACAAAGGAAAUGAAUAGGUUAUUUACAGAAGAUAGAUGGAAUAGUAAAAAUUGCAAGAUUCAACCUCACUAGAAUAGAAAUGUAAAUUUCCCUCCCAUCAACCUGACAAGAAUACUGGGUUUCUCUUCCUAAGAAUCAUAACAGUCAAUGAGGAGGAGGGUAUUACAAAGCAAGUACUUUCAUGUAGUGCUGAUUAUCUGAAAACUGGAACAAACUCUAUGAAAAGCAGCUGAGCAAGAAACAUAAAAGAAAUUAACACAGUUCAUACCAAUGAGCAAUAACUACAAAGCCAGAAAUUCAUCCUUAAGAGACAUAACCUUAGGUAAAGAUCUUUAUAGAGACGUGCAUCUCAGAUUAUUUAUAACAGCAAAAUUCUGAAAAUCUAUUUGCCCCUAAAUGGGAAGAGUAGUUAAGUGAAACAUGUUAUGGAAACAUAAGAAUGGCCUCUCAAUGUAUACAGUGACACAGGUGGGAAGGCGAGGAGAAACUAUGGUUAGUUCUCACUAAAUUUUUCCUUUCUUGCUUGUAUCUUUCUAUUAUUUCUAAAUUCUCUAUAAAAAGGCAUUUACAGUUAGUGGAACCUUUUUAGAAGAUUAUUAUUAUUUUUUUUUUUGGUCUUUCUG